CUCAAAUAUUUAGACGAUUAAGCUUCUUUCUUCUCUGCUGCGCUUGUCCUUCUCGAUGUUUCUUCAAUCAUCUCUGUUACCGGCAUGUUCUCAACAUGUUCUGCUUACAAUAAAAGUGACACCGUCAAUUUUUAUCAUUCACACAUCCAAUCAAUCCACGGCUAAUGAGCUGUUCAGAUAUACUCACCGCAACUUUUGGCAGUUGUGGGUUCAUUUCUUUCCCAGAUGCCGAUCUGAAAAAACUUUCAACAGAGAGCACCUCUGUGGCUUCUAUGAACAUAUUGUGUAAACUGCACUGCCCGGCUACACCGUCUUCAACAUCUUUCAGAUUUCACGUCCAAGAUGGAGAGGGGAUACAUUCAGACUGAGUUCUUGUGUAAUUGUAGUCAAAGCAAUGAUGUAUUCUGAUAGUUCACCGGAAUUUUGAUGUUGAAUUAUAGUU